AUGACGAGCUUGCCUGAGAGGGGUGCAACACCGCCAUCCAAUCCUACGUCGUCAUCGUCGUGUGAGGGGGACGCUGCCGUAGCUUCUUCUUCGGCUUCUUCCGCCUCAGAGGAGCAGAAGAAGGACGGCAGCCCGAAGCAGUGCAAGGCGUCUAUCCUCUCGAGCGUUCUCACCAUCUUCGAGCCGGACCAGGAUCAGUCAGGCAGGUCAGGGGGUCACGCCUCCGGGUCCUAUGCUUGGUCGAGGGUUCUGAGGCGGUUUGUGGGUGGCGGCUCCAUGUGGCGUUUCCUGGGAUGCGGCAAGGCUCUGACCGCCGCCGACGUCUGGUUCCUUGGAAAAUGCUACAAGCUGUCAUCCGAGGAGUCGUCGAGUGACUCGGAUUCUGAGGGCGGGCAUGCUGCGUUCUUGGAGGACUUCUCGUCCAGGGUAUGGAUCACCUACAGGAAAGGUUUUGAUGCCAUAUCUGAUUCCAAGCUCACAAGUGAUGUCAACUGGGGUUGCAUGGUUAGAAGCAGUCAGAUGCUGGUUGCACAGGCACUGAUUUUUCAUCAUCUUGGAAGGUCUUGGAGAAAGCCCGCACAGAGUCCAUCUGACCCAGAACAUACAAGGAUCUUACACCUGUUCGGUGAUUCUGAAGUCUGCGCUUUCUCCAUUCACAAUUUACUUCAAGCUGGAAAGAGUUACGGUCUGGCUGCUGGAUCAUGGGUGGGUCCAUAUGCUAUGUGUCGGGCAUGGCAAACCCUUAUCCGCACAAACAGAGAGCAACCUGAAGUUAUAAAUAGGAAUGAAAGUUUUCCUAUGGCGCUCUAUGUGGUCUCGGGUGAUGAAGAUGGUGAAAGAGGUGGAGCUCCAGUUGUUUGCAUUGAUGUUGCUGCUCAGCUUUGCUAUGAUUUCAACAAGGAUCAAUCAGCAUGGUCGCCUAUUCUUUUGUUGGUUCCUCUGGUUCUUGGUCUUGACAAAAUUAAUCCAAGGUACAUCCCACUACUAAAGGAGACAUUCACAUUUCCUCAAAGCUUGGGCAUUUUAGGUGGAAAACCUGGAGCAUCAACUUACAUUGCUGGGGUGCAGGAUGACAGGGCACUCUACCUAGAUCCCCAUGAGGUUCAGAUGGCAGUUAACAUAGCAUCUGAUAACUUGGAGGCGGACACUUCCUCAUACCACUGCAGCACCGUCCGUGAUAUGCCUCUAGACCUGAUAGAUCCAUCCCUGGCAAUUGGUUUUUACUGCCGUGACAAAGAUGACUUUGAUGAUUUCUGUUCUCGGGCCUCGGAGUUGGCAGAGCAGGCGAACGGAGCACCGCUCUUCACUGUCGUGCAGUCAGUUCAGCCGUCGAAACAGAUGUACAACCAGGAUGAUGGGUCCGGCUGUUCAGGCUACGGCGUCUCCGACAACAUCGACGCGGAGGACCUUGAUGGCUCGGGCGAAACAGGAGAAGACGAGUGGCAGAUUCUCUGA
rnacentral:rRNA from 1 species